rnacentral:misc_RNA from 1 species
UUAAGUUCAGCGGGUAGUCCUACCUGAUUUGAGGUCAAAUUCAUCAAAUGUGGUCCUCCCAAAGGGAUCUCCACUCGUUAGAAGCAGUGCAAUCUGAUUAUGCAGCAUACUGAGGCAUAGAUAAUUAUCACACCUGUAGUAGUUUCUUCUGCUCAGAUACCACUAAUGCAUUUCAGGGGAGCCGACUUCAAAUCUACAGA